AACGAACGCUGGCGGCAUGCCUAACACAUGCAAGUCGAACGAGACCUUCGGGGCUAGUGGCGCAAGGGGGCGUAACGCGUGGGAAGCUGCCCUUAGGUUCGGAAUAACUCCCCGCAGGGGGUGCUAAUGACGGUUGAUGUCAUCGGACCAAAGACUUAUCGCCUGUGGAUGGGCCCGCGUUGGAUUAGCUAGGUGGUAGGGUAAAAGCCUACCAAGGCGACGAUCCAUAGCUGGUCUGAGAGGAUGGUCAGUCACACUGGGACUGAGACACGGCCCAGACUCCUACGGGAGGCAGCAGUGGGGAAUAUUGGACAAUGAGCGAGAGCCUGAGCCACCGAGGCCGCGUGAGUGAUGAAGGCCUUAGGAUUGUAAAGCUCUUUUACCCGGGAUGAUAAUGACAGUACCGGGAGAAUAAGCUCCGGCUAACUCCGUG
rnacentral:rRNA from 1 species